GGGGCAGAGGAGAGGCAGAGGGGCAGAGGAAGAGGGGCAGAGGCAAAGGCCAAAGGUCAGAGGCUGAGAGGCAGAGGCCAAGAGGCAGAGAGGCAGGGGCACAGGGGCAGAGAAAAAUGGCAGAGAUAGAGGUGUAGAGGCAGAGGGGCAGAGGCAGAGGCAGAAGCAGAGGCAGAGGACAAUGGCAGAGGCAAUGGGGUAGAGGCAGAAAGGCUGAGUAAAAGGCAGAUGGGCAGGGGCAGAGGGGAAAAGGCAAAGUUAGAGACAGAGGCAGAGAGACAGAGGCAGAGAGGCAGAGGCAGAGAGGAAGAGGCAGAGGGGAAGAUUCCAAGAGGCAGAGGGGCAGAGAACAGAGGUAGAGGCUGAGAGAAAAAGGCAGAGGUAGAGGGGCAGAGGGAAGAGGGAGAGGGGCAGAUGCAGAGGCAGAGGGGCAGCAGAGGCAGAGAGACAGAGGGACAUAGGACAAUGACAGAGGGAGAGGGGCAGAGGCAGAGAGAGCGAGGGGCAGAGGACAGUGACAGAGGCAGAGGGGCAGAGGCAGAGGGGCAGAGACAGAGGCAGAAGGGCAGGGGCAGAGGUGCAGUGGCACAGUUAGAGACAGAGGCAGAGAGACAGAGGGGCAGAGGACAAUGACAGAGGCAGAGGGCCAGAGGCAGGGGGCAGAGACAAAUGCAGAAGGGCAGGGGCAGAGGUGCAGUGGCAUAGUUAGAGACAUAGGCAGACAGGCAGGGGCAGAUUGGCAGAGGCAGAGGGGCAGAGGCAUAUGGGGAAGGGCAGAGGGGCAGAAGCUGAGCUGCAGAGGUCAGAGGCAGAGGGUCAUAUGGGCAGAAAUGGAGGCAGAGGAGCAGAGGCAGGCAUCAGAGGCAGAGGGGCA
rnacentral:lncRNA from 1 species